AAAUUACAACUAAAAUACAAAUACAUCAAUACUAAUAAAAUUAUAUAUUUUUUAUUAUUUUAGGUAAGUUACUCUAAAAUUUUAAGUUAUAUCAAUUUAUAAUAAAUAAAUAAAAUCUCUUACUAAACAUAAAAAUCUUUUUAAAUAAAAAAUGUAUAGUUUACGUUAGACUGUUGGGUCGUCAACGAAAAAGUACGAACGAUUCAUAACCUAAGAGGUACGAACACGUUAUAAACUAAGGGAUGCAAACAUGAUGUGAUUCAAGAGGUAUGAACUUGUUCCAAGGGGUGGACGAAUGUUCCUUGACCGAAGGUAUGAAUGUGUCAUGACUGAAAAAGAGUAAAUGACGUGAACGAAAGGGUGUAAAUUGAAAUUGAGAUUCAUAAGACAAAAAAGUUUCCGGAUGGAUAAAACAUGCAAAAUCUAAGAAAUAUUAAGAAAAUGAUAUAUUCUAGUUUGGAUAGCAUUUUUAUGUUGUCGAGAAAAGGUCAUACUCUAAUAUCACCAGCACCAUGGUUGACCAUAAGACAAAAAAGUUUCCGGAUGGGUAAAAACAUGCAAAAUCUAAGAAAUAUUAAGAAAAUGAUAUAUUCUAAUUUGAAUAACUUUUUAUGUUGUCGAGAAAAGGUCAUGCUCAUAUAUCACUAGCACCAUAGUUGAUCUUUAACAUUCUCUCAGUGAUGUCUCGUUCGCACUUUUUCAGUCACGAUCCAUUCUUACCUCUUCGGCCAUGAUUCAUUGGCACUCUUUUGGAUACGACUCGUUUGCACUCUUCGGUUACGAGUCACGACACAUUUGCACUUUUUUGUCACAGCUCAUUUGCAAUAUUUCGGUCACGACCAUUUGCACCCUUUGGUCACGAUCCAAUCGCAACCUUUCGGUCACGAUCCAAUCGCAACCUUUCGGUCACGAUCAUUUGCACCCUUUCGGUCAGAACCAAUUUGCACCCUUUUGGUCAUGGUCAAGAUCUGUUUCCACCAUUUCAGUCAAUAUUAAUUUCACAUCUUUCGGUCAAGAUCCAUUCACACUUUUUCGUUUAUGAUCAUUAAUUGGCAGCCUUUCGGUCACGACCGUUUUGUAUAUUUUCGGUCAAAAUACAUUCACAUCCUUUCAGUCACAAAACGUUCAUACUCCUUGGAUCAUGAUAUGUUUGUACCUCUUGGAUCACAACACGUUCAUACUUCUUAGAUUACGAUGCGUUCAUAUCUCUUAAAUUACAACACAUUUGUACCUUUUCGUUGAAGACACCAC
rnacentral:lncRNA from 1 species